rnacentral:rRNA from 1 species
CCUGGUAGCGGGGGAUAACUAAUUGGAAACGAUAGCUAAUACCGCAUAAUAUUGAUUAUUUGCAUGAUAAUUGAUUGAAAGAUGCUAUUGCAUCACUACCAGAUGGACCUGCGUUGUAUUAGCUAGUAGGUGAGGUAACGGCUCACCUAGGCGACGAUACAUAGCCGACCUGAGAGGGUGAUCGGCCACACUGGGACUGAGACACGGCCCAG